rnacentral:lncRNA from 1 species
UUUAAGCUACUUAAACUUCAUAUAAAACCAAUGUAUACAUGUUUUCCUUUUACUUCUUCACAUAUGUAUGAUAGGGAAGAUUCAGCUUAUAUAAUCAGUACUCAUGGAGCUAGGAAACAAUGGAGAGCUAUAAAACUCCAACACCAGAGUAAAGCAAACAUCUGGGCAAUAAAAGAAGAUGCACCAGAAGUGUUCACAGAUUAUCCAGAAUGGUCGGUUCAGAGACUCUACUUGUCCACUGCAUUAAUAAGUCACCACAGCCUUACAGAUCAGAGUGUCAGAAGCCUAAAAUCCGUCCUGGGCCUCACCUUCUUGCAGCAUCUAGUAGCUGCCGUCAUCAGAAUGUGGCUUCACACCGCAUCUUUAGGUCGGCACUCAAGCCCCAUCUCUCCUGUGUGACCCGUUCUUCCUCCA